GAUGAACGCUGGCGGCAUGCCUAAGACAUGCAAGUCGAACGAGGUGGCCCAAAGAAGAUUGAGUGCUUGCACAAGAUUGGACUUGGAUUACCACCUAGUGGCGGACGGGUGAGUAACACGUAGGUGACCUACCUUUGAGUUUGGGGUAACUAUUAGAAAUGAUAGCUAAUACCGAAUUAAAUUCAGAUUCGUUUCUGUAUUAAAAGGAGCCUUUAAAGCUUCGCUUAAAGAUGGGCCUGCGGCGUAUUAGCUAGUUGGUGAGGUAAUGGCUUACCAAGGCGACGAUGCGUAGCCGAACUGAGAGGUUGAUCGGCCACAUUGGGACUGAGACACGGCCCAAACUCCUACGGGAGACAGCAGUUAGGAAUAUUCGUCAAUGGGGGAAACCCUGAACGAGCAAUGCCGCGUGAACGAUGAAGGCCCUAUGGGUUGUAAAGUUCUGUUGCAUGGGACGAACGAUUAGGAUAGGAAAUGAUCUUAAUGUGACGGUACCAUGCC
rnacentral:rRNA from 1 species